AGGACGAACGCUGGCGGCGUGCUUAACACAUGCAAGUCGAGCGGUGAUCCUCCUUCGGGGGUGAUCAGCGGCGAACGGGUGAGUAACACGUGGGCAACCUGCCCCCACACUGGGAUAACCUCGGGAAACCGGGGCUAAUACCGGAUACGACCUCGAGCGGCAUCUCUUGAGGUGGAAAGCUCCGACGGUGAGGGAUGGGCCCGCGGCCUAUCAGCUUGUUGGUGGGGUAAUGGCCUACCAAGGCGACGACGGGUA
rnacentral:rRNA from 1 species